rnacentral:rRNA from 1 species
ACUCGGGGAGGUAGUGACAAUAAAUACUGAUACAGGGCUCUUUUGGGUCUUGUAAUUGGAAUGAGUACAAUUUAAAUCCCUUAACGAGGAACAAUUGGAGGGCAAGUCUGGUGCCAGCAGCCGCGGUAAUUCCAGCUCCAAUAGCGUAUAUUAAAGUUGUUGUGGUUAAAAAGCUCGUAGUUGAACCUUGGGCCUGGCUGGCCGGUCCCCCUCACCGGGUGCACUGGUCCGGCCGGGUCUUUCCCUCUGUGGAACCGCAUGUCCUUCGCUGGACGUGCCGGGGAAGCAGGACUUUUACUUUGAAAAAAUUAGAGUGCUCCAGGCAGGCCUAUGCUCGAAUACAUUAGCAUGGAAUAAUGAAAUAGGACGCGUGGUUCUAUUUUGUUGGUUUCUAGGACCGCCGUAAUGAUUAAUAGGGACAGUCGGGGGCAUCAGUAUUCAAUUGUCAGAGGUGAAAUUCUUGGAUCUAUUGAAGACUAACUACUGCGAAAGCAUUUGCCAAGGAUGUUUUCAUUGAUAAGGAACGAAAGUUAGGGGAUCGAAGACGAUCAGAUACCGUCGUAGUCUUAACUAUAAACUAUGCCGACUAGGGAUCGGACGGCGUUAUUGAUUGACCCGUUCGGCACCUUUCGAGAAAUCAAAGUGCUUGGGCUCCA